AUUGAACGCUGGCGGCAGGCCUAACACAUGCAAGUCGAGCGAGCGGCGGACGGGUGAGUAAUGUCUGGGAAACUGCCCGAUGGAGGGGGAGAACUACUGGAAACGGUAGCUAAUACCGCAUACCAUCAGAUGUGCCCAGAUGGGAUUAGCUAGUUGGGGGGGUAACGGCUCACCUAGGCGAAGAUACCUAGCUGGUCUGAGAGGAUGACCAGCCAAACUGGGACUGAGACACGGGCCAGACUCCUACGGGAGGCAGCAGUGGGGAAUAUUGGACAAUGGGGGCAAGCCUGAUGCAGCCAUGCCGCGUGUAUGAAGAAGGCCUUCGGGUUGUAAAGUACUUUCAGCGGGGAGGCGUUACCCGCAGAAUAAGCACCGGCUAACUCCGUGCCAGCAGCCGCGGUAAUUC
rnacentral:rRNA from 1 species